UUUUAAUAGCUUAUAUUUAGAGUAUAAUAUUGAAGAUAUUAGGGAGAAAUUUUUUUCUUAAAAUAU
rnacentral:tRNA from 1 species